rnacentral:rRNA from 1 species
UACGUAGGGGGCGAGCGUUGUCCGGAGUUACUGGGCGUAAAGCGCUUGUAGGCGGUCCACCAAGUUUGGGGUGACAGUUGCCGACUUAAUCGGCAAAGUGCCUCAAAGACUGGCGGACUUGAGGGCCACAGAGGGACAUGGAACUCCAGGUGUAGUGGUGAAAUGCGUAGAUAUCAGGAGGAACACCAAUGGCGAAGGCAGCUCGCUGGGACGGUACUGACGCUGAGACGCGAAGGCGUGGGGAGCAAACAGG